GGGUAAGAGGGUGAACUGGAUGCGACAUCUGUCACCCCACUGGUCUCCAGGGUUGAAUUGGCUGAUCUGGCUUCCUAGGCCAGUGUCCCCUUCCUCCCUCACUGCUCCAUGUUCUUCCCUCCUAAAGCUGAGCUCUCAGUGGGUAGAAGAGGAUGACCCUCCCCAAAUAGAGGAGGACCUGUCUUCCGAGGUCACCUGCUGGAACCUCCAAACAAGCUGUCAAGGAUGCUUAGAUAGCAUGCAACGUCUCCCUUCGAAAAUGCUUCUUGGUUACAAGUAAGAAGAGCCAUUUU
rnacentral:snRNA from 1 species